ACUGGGAAUUCAGGGGUGAACAGACAGUCCAAGCCCUUGUUUUUGAGGACCUGGAGACAAACAAAUGAAUAAAUAAAUUCUAGAACUUCAGGUAUGGACAUUCACUUGGCCAGAAGAUUGUACGACAUGGCUGCUCAAACGAGUCCAGAUGCCCACAUACCUGUGCUCUUUGCCGUCAUGAAACUGGAAACUACGCAUUUGCUCCGGGAUAUCCUGUUUUUUAAUUUCACAACGAGAUGGAACUGGCUGAAACUGGACAACACCAUUGGACCACACUGGGACUUAUUUGUGAUUGGCCUCAUUGUUCCUGGGCUGAUUUUGUUGCUUAGAAAUCACCAUGGGUAGGAUGCGGAUCACAGGAAAACCUGCUCACGGGAAUCAGUUCACUCCAAGGUAUCCCCACUAAAUAAACAGUUUCCCAUCCAAAUCAAGAGUCCGCUGCAGUUUCCCGCUCAGGGCUGUGAUGGGAAACAGACAAGACUUGGGGACCAUCCUAGAGAAACAACUUCAGACUUCCUGCUUAGUAGAGAAAACCCUUUGCGGGAUGCUGGGAACUGGUCACCUAAGACCUUGUUACCAAUCU
rnacentral:lncRNA from 10 species